CCCCCAACUACCUUAGUGAUUAUUCUAAGUAAUAAACCAUUAGCCCAAGCAAGAAUCAUAAUAUUCAAAAUCAUAUUAAGCUGGUAUCCAAAAUUAUAUAUUUCACGUCAAACUUUCUUUUACCUUCUUGGUUUAAACAUGAAAAAUUAUUUGUAUUAUAUAUUAUAUAUAAAAAAAAACUCUGGCAAUUCAGCCCCUACAUUCAGAUUAAAAGGUCUGCUUUUCGAACAAUAUCGAUUUAUUGGUCUUUUCAUUUUCUGUUAUUAUACUUCUGCCCUAAUUAAUAAUUUAGGAUUCAAUUUUCUAGAUUUCUCCAAAAUUUAUAAUAAGUAAAUUCCACCAUAACACAAAAUUCUUUUCAUAUAAAUUUUCUAAAACUUAUGUAUACAAUUUUUU
rnacentral:lncRNA from 1 species